rnacentral:rRNA from 1 species
GACGAACGCUGGCGGCGUGCUUAACACAUGCAAGUCGAACGGAAAGGCCCUGCUUUUGUGGGGUGCUCGAGUGGCGAACGGGUGAGUAACACGUGAGUAACCUGCCCUUGACUUUGGGAUAACUUCAGGAAACUGGGGCUAAUACCGGAUAGGAGCUCCUGCUGCAUGGUGGGGGUUGGAAAGUUUCGGCGGUUGGGGAUGGACUCGCGGCUUAUCAGCUUGUUGGUGGGGUAGUGGCUUACCAAGGCUUUGACGGGUAGCCGGCCUGAGAGGGUGACCGGCCACAUGGGGACUGAGAGACGGCCCAGACGCCUACGGGAGGCAGCAGGGGGGAAUAUUGCACAAUGGGCGGAAGCCUGAUGCAGCAACGCCGCGUGCGGGAUGACGGCCUUCGGGUUGUAAACCGCUUUCGCCUGUGACGAAGCGUGAGUGACGGUAAUGGGUAAAGAAGCACCGGCUAACUACGUG